UUGCAAAGGGAAUGAAAGUAAAAAUUGUCUUAGAAAACAGUGACUUUAAAAACUUCACCCCUUCUCUAAGCAAUACCUACAUUUCAUUUCUCUCAUUCCGUUUCUUUGUCUCUUUUUGUUUAUUUUUCUUCUUCUCAUUUGGUUUCACCUACAUGCGCGUCACACCCUCUUCUGAAAAUGGGGUGGCUGCACUCCCUCUUCUCUCCUCUUAAGAAGAUGUGGUUUCGCCUCCAUUCCGGUCCGAAGAAAACAGGAAGAGGAAUUUACAUUCUGUAUGAGGAUGUAAAAUCCUGCCCCUGCGAGGAUGUGCAUGUCCUGUGGUCAAUACUAGUGGAGGCCCAUACACAUACCACACCUUCUUUACCACCACCAAAAGCAUGAAUUCAUAUGAAGGCUCCAUUGUUCUCCAUAGUAUAUGAGUGAGAGUGAUUUCGUGCUGCCAAGUAUACAUCCUAUUUAUGUACUUAUGUGUGUAUAUAUACAUUUUUUAUACUGGGGUACAUGUAAAAGGUCUUUGUCCAGUAUUUUUUUUUUCCAGUUACCUGUAAAUGCAAUGCAUUGAAAUAUUUUGCCUUUCUUGUGAUUUA